rnacentral:tRNA from 1 species
GGGGUUGUGGAUCAGAGGUAGAGCGCUCGCCUAGCAUGUGUGAGGCACUGGGUUUGAUCCUCAGCACCACA